GACGAACGCUGGCGGCGUGCUUAACACAUGCAAGUCGAGCGAGAAACCUUCGGGUUUCUAGCGGCGGACGGGUGAGUAACACGUGGGUAACCUGCCUCAAAGAGGGGGAUAGCCUUCCGAAAGGAAGAUUAAUACCGCAUAAUAUUACAGUUUCGCAUGGAGCAGUAAUUAAAGGAGUAAUCCGCUUUGAGAUGGACCCGCGGCGCAUUAGCUAGUUGGAGAGGUAACGGCUCACCAAGGCAACGAUGCGUAGCCGACCUGAGAGGGUGAUGGGCAACAUUGGAACUGUGACACGGUCCAGACUCCUACGGGAGGCAGCAGUGGGGAAUAUUGCACAAUGGGCGAAAGCCUGAUGCAGCAUCGCCGCGUGAGUGAUGAAGGUCUUCGGAUUGUAAAGCUCUGUCUUUUGGGACGAUAAUGACGGUACCAAAGGAGGAAGCCACGGCUAACUACGUGCCAGCCGCCGCCGUAA
rnacentral:rRNA from 1 species